GGAUGUUAGCGGCGGACGGGUGAGUAACACGUGGGUAACCUGCCUGUAAGACUGGGAUAACUCCGGGAAACCGGAGCUAAUACCGGAUAGUUCCUUGAACCGCAUGGUUCAAGGAUGAAAGACGGUUUCGGCUGUCACUUACAGAUGGACCCGCGGCGCAUUAGCUAGUUGGUGAGGUAACGGCUCACCAAGGCGACGAUGCGUAGCCGACCUGAGAGGGUGAUCGGCCACACUGGGACUGAGACACGGCCCAGACUCCUACGGGAGGCAGCAGUAGGGAAUCUUCCGCAAUGGACGAAAGUCUGACGGAGCAACGCCGCGUGAGUGAUGAAGGUUUUCGGAUCGUAAAGCUCUGUUGUUAGGGAAGAACAAGUGCAAGAGUAACUGCUUGCACCUUGACGGUACCUAACCAGAAAGCCACGGCUAACUACGUGCCAGCAGCCGCGGUAAUACGUAGGUGGCAAGCGUUGUCCGGAAUUAUUGGGCGUAAAGGGCUCGCAGGCGGUUUCUUAAGUCUGAUGUGAAAGCCCCCGGCUCAACCGGGGAGGGUCAUUGGAAACUGGGAAACUUGAGUGCAGAAGAGGAGAGUGGAAUUCCACGUGUAGCGGUGAAAUGCGUAGAGAUGUGGAGGAACACCAGUGGCGAAGGCGACUCUCUGGUCUGUAACUGACGCUGAGGAGCGAAAGCGUGGGGAGCGAACAGGAUUAGAUACCCUGGUAGUCCACGCCGUAAACGAUGAGUGCUAAGUGUUAGGGGGUUUCCGCCCCUUAGUGCUGCAGCUAACGCAUUAAGCACUCCGCCUGGGGAGUACGGUCGCAAGACUGAAACUCAAAGGAAUUGACGGGGGCCCGCACAAGCGGUGGAGCAUGUGGUUUAAUUCGAAGCAACGCGAAGAACCUUACCAGGUCUUGACAUCCUCUGACAACCCUAGAGAUAGGGCUUUCCCUUCGGGGACAGAGUGACAGGUGGUGCAUGGUUGUCGUCAGCUCGUGUCGUGAGAUGUUGGGUUAAGUCCCGCAACGAGCGCAACCCUUGAUCUUAGUUGCCAGCAUUCAGUUGGGCACUCUAAGGUGACUGCCGGUGACAAACCGGAGGAAGGUGGGGAUGACGUCAAAUCAUCAUGCCCCUUAUGACCUGGGCUACACACGUGCUACAAUGGACAGAACAAAGGGCUGCGAGACCGCAAGGUUUAGCCAAUCCCACAAAUCUGUUCUCAGUUCGGAUCGCAGUCUGCAACUCGACUGCGUGAAGCUGGAAUCGCUAG
rnacentral:rRNA from 1 species